UACGAAGGGGGCUAGCGUUGCUCGGAAUCACUGGGCGUAAAGGGCGCGUAGGCGGAUCGUUAAGUAGAAAGUGAAAGGUCGGGGCUUAACCCCAACAUUGCUUUCUAUACUGGCGGUCUUGAAUCCCGGAGGGGAAAGCGGAACGACACGUGUAGCGGUGAAAUGCGUUGAUAUGUGUCGGAACACCAAUGGCGAAGGCAGCUUUCUGGACGGGGAUUGACGCUCAUCUGCGAAAGCCGAGGUAGCGAACAGG
rnacentral:rRNA from 1 species